UUUAAAAGGUUCAGUUGUUUCCCCAUUAGUCAUCAUUGUAUAGCUUACUGUUUGAACACACUCCAUGAUCCAGUUUGUGAAACUGGCUGGAAAACCCAAUCCUUCCAUUACCUGUUGCAAGAAGAUCCAUUCAACAGAAUCAUAGGCCUUCUGCAGGUCAAUUUUGAUCAUGAAUCUAGGAGUCACAUGGGAUCUGGAAUAGUUUUUGAUCAACUCAUGAGCCAGG
rnacentral:lncRNA from 1 species